ensembl:lncRNA novel transcript
AUGUGUACACUUAAAGUAUGGGAUGUGUCAACACGACCCUUUCUAGCGCGCUCGUUUCGUGUCUGAAUCCCCGCAUUUCGCCAAUUUGCUUGGAGCGCAGAACGCCCUCCGCGAAAGGCGGCUGCUGAUCCCGACUUUGCUCCGGUAUCGCGCAGCUUGUUGGCCUCCGGGUCCCCCGUGCCAUGCCCCCGGGAGGCUCUCCACAGACACCGCUUGCGCCGAAUUAUACGAGACUGAAUGGGUUUUUUUGGUGUGUGUGUGCAACACAACAAUUUGUCAGCUGCUGUUCACAAUGCGCUCCGCCGGGCGGUGGAAACUUGGCUGCGGUAACGCACAGCAGGUUGGAGGGCACGACCCGGAAGGAAGGAAGAGGCGAGGAGGGAAAGGCGGCGACCCUAGGCCCGCUGGCCAGCCGUUUCCAGCAUCAAUUCAGCACUGAGCCGGCCGCAGCAGCACAGGGCUGGGGGCUCCCGGAGCUGCGGCCAGCCGGGGUUUCGGCCAGAGCCGCGGAGGCUGCCCGGUGGUAGGUGCGACUCUUCACCUCUCCGGGGAGCGGCGGCCGACGACCCAACCCACCCGCAGCGCUGCCGUCGGCCCGGCUGGUCCCCCGCGCGGGCACAAAAACAGGCGGCAGUUCGCCAGCUCUCUUUUCCCAAACCUGAACCGCCAAGCCGAAGGUUCUUCCAAAGUCGCGGUUCCCCGGGCUUCACACCCGCCGGGCAGGCGCGAACCAGCCCCAGGACAACCAUUUUCCUCUUCACUGUAUCUGAGUCGUUGUCCAUCUGACUCGAAUGUCACCUGAUUUUCCCAGCUGUGACCUCCAGCGACGGGACUCCGAGGAACUGAUUCCAGCGUCUCGAUUCUCUCCGCCUCUCCGCCCGUUUUGGCUGAAGCGGUUUGCAGCCGUCGGGGCAGAAGGGGUGGGAUGUGGCAGCCACCAGCCCCAGCCCAGAGAAGAAAAGAGGACGAAAUUAACGCGAAAGGACACCGGAAGUCUGAAAGCGACUCCCUCGGAUCCUCGGAAUCCGAGGCAAACCCUAACACUAGUUUGAAAGCGGAUCAUAUCCACUAAUCCAGGACAAAUUCGGGUUGGGAAACAUACUCCCCAGAGCCUAAGAAAACUGACUUACAACAAAACAAAACUGACAAGGACAAAAUGCAAAGGAGUUUGUGAAACGUAAUUGCUCUCAGAAAAUAUGUGUAUAUAUAUACAUCCUAUAAUAUGUUUUAAAUUUGCAAAAAAAAAGUCUCUAAGAGGAUAUAUUUUUAAAACCAGUGGCAGCUUGGGAGGGAGUGGGGAUUAGCUGAGAAGGGGAGAAGGAAGCAUUUUUGAGGUGACGUAAAUGUUUUUGUAUCUUGAUUAUGGUGGCUGUUAUGGGGGUGCACAUCCAAGUGUCAAGACUCAUCGAACUGUACACUUUUGUUCUAGGUACAUUAGACCUCAAUAAAGUGGAUUUUAAACCUAAAUAAGCCAGGUAACAGCUUUGCCUGGGUGGCUGGGGGAGAGGCUUGGGACACUUUACAUUGAUCUCCCUCUUAGGCAUGUUCGUUUUGGUUUGGUUUUGUUCUUAUGAUGUAUUAUUUAUUCAAAAAUAUAUCAUUAGCAGAGUGACUGAUGUAAAUGUAAAACCAUUGUUAAGGAAACCAACAAAAGCGGGAACAAGAGACACUGGUGCAUCCUGUUAGAGGGAUAAGAAUAAGCACUCGCUGUCCAAGCUCAUAAAAUAUUUUGGAAAUGAAUGUC